AACCCAUAGUGAGGAUACUUUCGCAAUAAGUCCUUAUACGUCUCCCAUGCAUCAUAUAAGGUCUCUAAGUCGAUCUGAAUGAAGAAAGAGAUAUCAUUGCUCAACUU
rnacentral:snoRNA from 1 species